CGGGAGGCUCUGCGCGCGUCCGCUCUUGGGGCCACCCGUUCCAGAGCCACUCGCCAGGGCCAACCCGGAGCUCGAGACCCCGAGCUCGGGUGCGAGCAGGAUGCGGCUCCCCGGGGACGGUUGGCGCGGGUAGGAGUCCCGAAGCCCCGACCUUACCUCUGCUUCAUGCUGCAGUGUCCCUCAGCGCUGGCGUCCCAGUGGCCGGUCCGUGCCGCCCUGUCCCACAGGCCCGGCGACCGUGGAGGUGUGUAAUGUCGUCCAUGGCCCAGUGCAGAGGAACACAGGUGUUGCCGUCAGACUGCCAGGGUCCGAUCCCGCCUCCGUCACUCACCCCGGGAGCUCCCUUUAAGCCAGGAGUCAACAGCGAGAUGGAAACUGUCCUCCUUCCAGAUGUCCUCAGCAUUCUCAUUCGUGAUGUUACGUACAGCAGCUUCAUUACAGAUGUCUCCAGCGUCAUUCAAGAUGUCAGGUCCAGCAGCCUCAUUACAGAUGUCCACAGUGUCCUCGUUACAGAUGUCUACGGCGUCCUCAUCGCAGAUGUCAUAUACAGUGUCUUUGUCAGAGAUGUCCUGUAUAGGGUCCCCACAGGGGGCUAGGAGAACACAGAGUAAAGAAGAAGGAUGACCAAUAAGAUGAACAGGAAAGAAAUGAGAAACAGAGGUCUUUGCUUAGGAGCUAAAGGCCACCUUCUGUAACACAAAAUAGUCUACAAGUGGCCUUGAACUCUGCCGUGAUUCAGUGACAGAGUUCCCUCAUGUCGUCUACCCACGUUGAAGUCCAGCGACACUGCGACUGUCUUCUUUACAACUUGCAAGACAUGCUGCUUCUGCAUUUGCCUGUUGUAUGAGAUUUACACCUGUUUUAAAGCCACGUUUUGUUUCAGUUGGGCUGGUGGCCAUACACCGCACUAGCCAGUCAAUAGUGAGAUGGCUCCUCAUGGAGGCGGCUUGGCUUGAGGCUGAGGGUCUUUAACCCACAUGCACAAGAGAGUUGCCACGAGGGGACGGAAGCCAGGCUAAUAACCAACUGCUGUACAGAGUUCCCAUCUGUCCCUCCUCACCAUUUUCAGCUGGCAGGAUUUCAGCAUUUUAGGGCUUGGGAAGACAAUAUUACUAAAUCUACUAAAAUACAUCACCCAUCCUUAUAGGCUUUGGCCAGUUGCUGAGCAAAUUAACUUCACAACUGAAGUGGGCCACAUUGGCCUGCAUGGUCCCCCGCUUCUCUUAGAAUCUGUGAGUGUGGGGCCUAUUGGAGGGUGGGAGGUGGGAGGAGGGUGAGGAUCAGGAAAAAUAGCUGAUAUUAGGCUUAAUAUAUGGGUGAUGAAAUAAUCUGUACAACAAACUCUUGACACAUGUAUAUGUAUGUAGCAAACCUGAACAUCCUGCACAUGUACCCCUGAACUUUAAAUAAAAGUUUAAAAAAAAAAAGUCUGUGAGCUGACCCAAACCCCCGGGGAUCUUUGUGCUUUUGACACACUGAUAACUACACCG
rnacentral:lncRNA from 1 species